rfam:Gossypium hirsutum cultivar TM-1 chromosome 22, whole genome shotgun sequence
CACGUCAGCGCGCUUUACUGACGUGGCAACAAAUCGCCCCCUUGCGAUUUGUUGCCACGUCAGCAAAACGCGCUGACGUGG